GUGAAUGAAAGGAAUGGUUGGAAGGAAAGUUGGUAUUGUCAGGAAGAAUUCUGGUGGAUUGGGAAGGAGGAAGAAAGUUGGGAAACUUAGGCAAAGAGGUUAGGAGGAGGAAGGAAUUUGAGGGGAGGUGUGGAGUUUAGUUGGGGCUGCUGUUUCGAUGGGGAAGAAACUAACUCACGGGCUUGAGGGAGUAAAUGGCCUGUGGCUGUUCUGUUGCUAGAACUUUAUUGUUGCUGUCAAUGUAAUUCUGUCUCCGAGAAUCAUAUUGCUGUUGGUAUUGAAUAAAAUACCCCUUGUGUGUAAUGAUGAUUGAUUCAGCACAAGUUCUGUUUUAUACUAGUGGAAUGUUAUGGACAAGGAAAAAUACAUGAAGAUAUUCUGAAACAAAUGGACAUUAGUAUAUGUGGAGAAGAUCCUGAGAUUCCAUAUAUUCUGUUCGUUUACAAAAUUUCUUGUGAUAUUGAGGAUCUCUGCAACGCUCUACAAUGGGUUGAAAAUUUAUCCUCCUGGAGGUGGACAGCCUUGAUGUCACUCGCAUUGAUGACUACUUUAAAUGCUUGGUUAAAGUCUGGAGCUACUGGCAGUGAUUCGUUUAUAAAUUGGUUUUCAGCUUUUCGAAACUGUCUGGCAUUUCUUGGUCCAUACUAAUUUUCCUUUUUUCUGUAGUAAUCUUGUCAGCGGGGCAGCUCCUGUGCUGAAGUUUGGGAUAAACUUGCGGUAGAGUCCACACAUCCCUAAGAAUCUCAUGAUUUCCCAUUUUGGUGUAGCAAUGGGAACUGUGCCAUUGCUUGUAUCUUUCCAGCUCAGGACAGUACUUAUCCUUGACCCACCACGUGUCCUAGAUAGGUCACCUGAGCCUUGGUGAACUCACUCUUUGUGAGAUUGACCAAAAGGUCAGCUGACUGUAAUUUCUGGAAGAGGGCUUCCAGUUGCUCUAAGUGAGUUUCCCUGCUGUCACUGUACAGCAGGAGGUCAUCUAGGUACACUACGCAAUUGGAUAAACUCAACAUUACCUGGAUCUUCCAUCUCUGGACGGUUGCUGGGGAAUUUCUGAGUCCAAAUGGCAUCACUCGACACUGGUAUAACCCAUCUGGAGUUAUGAAGGCAGAAAUUUCCUUCACGCGGGCGGUCAAGAUUACUGCUGACAUGAACUAAAAUGAUAAUAACAAAAAACUGCGAAUGCUGGAAAUCCAAAACAAAAGCAGAAUUACCUGAA